rnacentral:lncRNA from 1 species
GUAAAGUGUUACUGGUUCCACAUUACAAUAUGUUGACAAAUUACGUUGAAACAACGCUGAUUUAACCAGUAUGUGCCCGGUGGGUUGAGAUGACAAACCUUGACCAGCAGUUAGUGGCAGUCAUAAAUUAGAAUGAUGUUUCAGAGACUAGGGACAUAGAGAAGCAGUUUGCUAAUAACUAACAGAAAACAUCAGACAACACAAAACAUCUCAUCCAUCAUAGUGUGGGAUAAAUAUUCUCCUUGGCAUGAUCUCCCUGAAUGGAUAGAAGUUCAGACAGAAAUGUGCUUAUAAUGUUAUGUUUGAAAGUACUCCUCAUAUUUUCUGUCUCCUAUUGGUGCAGUGAAAGCAUUGACAUGACACUGAGUCUGUCACGUGAGCUAAGUCCAAUAUCCUACCUACACAUUACCUACCUACCGGAGUAAAACUAUAAAUUGACCUAGUCAACGUGGGGCAUGUUGUGAGUAAUGGAUAUGUGGGUCAUUUAAACGCAACAUUGACGAUUGUCAAGAAGACUUACAGCAUUGCAGCACAGGAAAAAGGUUCAACAUAAACACACGCCCAGAGGGACUACUACUUCGCCUGAAUGGCAGUCUACUCUGUCACGCCAAUAUUGUUGGGAAGAGCACAGAUCUGGGACCAGGCUAACUUCAACAUUCCUUACUGAGGCUCCCAGGAUGAUGAAGAUGUGGGAGUCAGAUGGAUGGGAGAGCUCUCUUCUCAGCCGUCCAAAUACCUCAGAAAGGGACCUGAGCCCUAGGACCAUGCCUCAGGACAAUCUGGUAUGAUGACUCCUUGCUGUCCCCAGUCCACCUGGCCGUGCUGCUGCUCCAGUUUCAACUGUUCUGCCUGCGGCUAUGGAACCCUGACCUGUUCACCGGACGUGCUUAUUGCACCCUCGACAACUGCUAUGAUUAUUAUUAUUUGACCAUGCUGGUCAUUUAUGAACAUUUUAACAUCUUGACCAUGUUCUGUUAUAAUAUCCACCCUGCACAGCCAGAAAAGGACUGGCCACCCCUCAUAGCCUGGUUCCUCUCUAGGUUUCUUCCUAGGUUUUUGGCCUUUCUAGGGAGUUUUUCCUAGGGAGUUUUUCCUAGCCACCGUGCUUCUUUCACAUGCAUUGCUUGCUGUUUGGGGUUUUAGGCUGGGUUUCUGUACAGCACUUUGAGAUAUCAGCUGAUGUACGAAGGGCUAUAUAAAUACAUUUGAUUUGAUUUAAUUCCAUUUCUAUCAUAUGUUUAUAGUAAUGGUUUUCAUUAUCUGAGAAUAUCUCUUAAACGUAAAAGCUGAGACUAUAUUUUUGUCAUUUAGCAGAUGCUCUGCAGAGC